rnacentral:rRNA from 1 species
AGUUUGGAUCAUGGCUCAGGACGAACGCUGGCGGCGUGCUUAACACAUGCAAGUCGAACGAUGAAGCCUUUCGGGGUGGAUUAGUGGCGAACGGGUGAGUAACACGUGGGCAAUCUGCCCUUCACUCUGGGACAAGCCCUGGAAACGGGGUCUAAUACCGGAUAACACUCUGUCCCGCAUGGGACGGGGUUAAAAGCUCCGGCGGUGAAGGAUGAGCCCGCGGCCUAUCAGCUUGUUGGUGGGGUGAUGGCCUACCAAGGCGACGACGGGUAGCCGGCCUGAGAGGGCGACCGGCCACACUGGGACUGAGACACGGCCCAGACUCCUACGGGAGGCAGCAGUGGGGAAUAUUGCACAAUGGGCGAAAGCCUGAUGCAGCGACGCCGCGUGAGGGAUGACGGCCUUCGGGUUGUAAACCUCUUUCAGCAG